rnacentral:rRNA from 1 species
UACGAAGGGGGCUAGCGUUGUUCGGAAUUACUGGGCGUAAAGCGCACGUAGGCGGAUCGAUCAGUCAGGGGUGAAAUCCCAGGGCUCAACCCUGGAACUGCCUUUGAUACUGUCGAUCUGGAGUAUGGAAGAGGUGAGUGGAAUUCCGAGUGUAGAGGUGAAAUUCGUAGAUAUUCGGAGGAACACCAGUGGCGAAGGCGGCUCACUGGUCCAUUACUGACGCUGAGGUGCGAAAGCGUGGGGAGCAAUCAGG